UCUCCUCCGGGGCGCAGCAGUGGGGAAUAUUGCACAAUGGGGGAAACCCUGAUGCAGCGACGCCGCGUGCGUGCCGCCGUCUUUCGGUCUGUCCCUCUCUCUCCUCCGGGCCGCCGCCCGCCGGUCCCUGCCUCAGCCGCCCCGGCUAACUACGUGCCCGCCGCCGCGGUCCUCCGUCGGGGGCCCGCGUUCUCCGGCUUUCCUGGGUGUCCCGGGCGCGUCGCCGGCUGUGCCCGUCUGCCGUGCCCGCCCCGGGCUCCCCCCUGGGCCUGCUUUGGCCCCUGUGGCGCUCGCGUGCUGGCGAG
rnacentral:rRNA from 1 species